rnacentral:lncRNA from 1 species
CGAAUUCCUAUUUAGGAUCCAGCCCUGUUCCAAUCAGGGCUGUCUUGGAAGGAUCACCGGUCUGGAGGUCGAUCGAUUUGAAGUCUUGCUCAUUGGCGGGUUUCACCUUUGUGGAGCCCGACUUGUUUUUCGGGAUCUCUAGUUCGGUGGGAUGGAGUUUCUUUGAAGCUGUGAAAACUUGCUGCAUGGGACUAGGAGAUUGAGUAGUCACAGCAAUUUCCACGGCUUCGGUGUCGCACUCGUAGGAUCUCCGGAGAUCUCCUCGUAG